UCAGCUAACUGGAAGCGGAAUAGAGAAGU
rnacentral:piRNA from 1 species